ACAUGUGUGGGGAGAAGUACAUGAGCAUGCACAUAUACAGAGCGAGCAGAGGUCAGUGUCAGGUGUCGUCUUCAGUCCCUUUCCACAUUCUUAUUGUGAGUCAGGAUCUGUCAUGGAAUGUGGACUUCACCCACUCAGCUUCCCGGGCUGGGCAAGAUUGCAGGGAUCAGGGUGUCUCUCCCCCAGUCCCAGUUCUGGGUUGUAGCUUCACACCACAACAUCUGGCUUCCACUUGUGGCUUGAAGGAGCUAUACUGACAAGAGUUCAGACAGUAACUGUCCCGCUGGCUGCUUUUACACGCUGUCUCUAAGCCUGUUGUGCAACCAUUCAGAAACAGCCCCACCGUGAGAUCAAUACCAUCCGAAGAGUCUUGAGGUGAAUUCUGAUGUGGGUGCUCUUGACCUUGGUUGGGAAAUUGAAGCUGGCUUAGCUUAGUUCCCCAGGAAAGUGCUGGAGGAAAAGUUCAAUGGAGUAGUUAUCUUGUGUCCCUGAGUAAAGAUUUAUAAACAAUCAAUAGUUCUCUCAUUUGUUGUUUCUCCAAAAUUAGAGUACCAGGCAGUGUUGCUGGGACUAUCCAAUAUGCCAUUUAAGCAUGAAAAUCUAUCAAGGGACUGAAGCCCACAACAGAGCAGCCAAUUAAUGACCAGCUCCUGUGAAGACUUGUUCUUCACAGCUUCGAAAGUGCAUACCCUAAUCCUCACACUCUGAGGUACGCAGCAGAAAUACCUCAAGAAGCUGGGCAUGGUGGCCUAGGCUUGUUAUCUCAUCGUGUGAGAGGCUGAGAAAGAAGGAAGGCUCUAUACUCAAGGGCUUACUCAAGGGUUAUGGUGUGAAACCCUGUAUCAUCAUCAUCAACAACACCACCAUCACCAUCAUUAUCAACAACAACACACAAGAAAGACAGGAAGAAAAGAAAUCAAAGCGUUGAAGCAAAAGUGGAAAGAGGUGGAGGAAAAAACACUGCCAGAUACUACACCGAGUGAGUGUCUGACUUGGGCCAAGGAACGUUUCACAGAACUCCAUUCCUGAGUAUGGCAGUGUGGUGCAUGCCUGUCAUCCCAGAACACUAGAGUUCUAAAUGGCAAAGCAGAAGGAUUGUGAGUUCACAGAUAGCCUGGACUAUAUAGUGAGACCCUAUAUCAAAAAGAAAAGGAGGAGGAGAAGGAAGGGGAGGAGGGGAGAAGGAGGAGGAGGAGGGAGAGUGGGGGAAGGAGAAGGGAAAAGGAAUAGAAACAGAAGGAGAGGGAGGGAAGAAAGGGAAGGAAGAGGAGGAAGAGGAAGAAGAGAAGGAAGCUGGGAAGGUGCCUUCUCAGGGUUUCCCCACACAGCAUGAGCAUCUGAGUUCUCAGCCCCAGCACCCACACAAAAGGCUGGGUUUAGUGAAGACAGGAGGAUCCUUGUGCUUGCUGCUGAGCCAAUCUCACCAAAUCAGUGAGCUCCAGGUGAGUGACAGAUGCUGUUUCAAAAAAAGAUGUUCGGUGGCUAAAAAGAUAACUAAUGCCAACCUCUAGCCUCUACACACACACACACACACACACACACACACACCCGCACGCACGCACGCACGCACGCACGCAAGCACACUACUGCCUUGGAGAUGCAUACCAGUUGGCUUAGCACUUGGGGUAGACACUGGAUGGUGAUGAGUUGGGAAUCAUCCCCAGCUACAGAGGAAUUAAGAAUCAUACCUUCCUGGGCCACAGAAAACAAACAGAAACAAACAAAACCAACUACAACAAAACCAACCAACCAGCCAACCAAACAGCCAACCAACCAGCCAACCAACCAACCAACCAACCAACCAGCCAACCAACCAACCAACCAACCAACCAACCAGCCAGCCAGCCAGCCAGCCAGCCAGCCAACCAACCAACCAACCAAACAAACAAACAAAAGAAUUUGCAUUUCUGAAAAGGCUCCAGGCUGUUGAGUAACCCAGAUGUUUGUGACAGUGGGAGUCUUUUGCUCUGAGAUAGGGUGACUCUAAUGGCCAAUUCUGUGUGACAACCUGGCCAGGCUAAGAGGCCUGGUCAAUGACUCAGUUGUCUCUGCCCUUGUGAAGACACGCUGCAGGUAUAACUGACAUUAAGUCAGUAGACACUAAGUAAAGUCCAUUACUUACAUUCUGUGUCUGGACCUUAUCCAACUAGGUAGAGGCCAAGAGAGGAAAGACAGGUGGUUCCAGGAUGUCUGCCUCCGGGCUCUCCCUUUCAAUCUCUGCCUGAGUUUCAGAAUGUAAGGCUGCAGUUGCAAUUUGGCAAUUCAGUACCAACUCAGUGGCCAGCCUCCUCCACAGAUCUGGGAUUCGUCAGCCCUGUCAUCAUUUAGGGCGAUAGCAAACAUUCCAUGU
rnacentral:lncRNA from 1 species